rnacentral:misc_RNA from 1 species
GAUGAAGAACGUAGCGAAAUGCGAUAAGUAAUGCGAAUUGCAGAAUUCCAGUGAGUCAUCGAAUCUUUGAACGCACAUUGCGCCCUUUGGUAUUCCGAAGGGCAUGCCUGUUCGAGCGUCAUUAUCACCCCUCAAGCCCUCGGCUUGGUGUUGGACGGUUUGGUGGAGGCCCCCUCGGGGGCUCCUGCCCCUCCCAAAGACAAUGACGGCGGCCUCGUUAGACCCCCGGUACACUGAGUUCUUCACGGGACACGUAUCGGACACAUGGGUUUACGGGACACGGUCUGCCUCCCCUCAGGGAGAAUCUUUCUAAGGUUGACCUCGGAUCAGGUAGGGAUACCCGCUGAACUUAAGCAUAUCAAUAAGCGGAGGA